rnacentral:rRNA from 1 species
UACGGGGGGGGCAAGCGUUGUUCGGAAUUACUGGGCGUAAAGAGCGCGCAGGCGGUCGUUCAAGUCGCGUGUGAAAGCCCCCGGCUCAACUGGGGAGGGUCACGCGAUACUGAUCGACUCGAAGGCAGGAGAGGGUAGUGGAAUUCCCGGUGUAGUGGUGAAAUGCGUAGAUAUCGGGAGGAGCACCAGUGGCGAAGGCGACUACCUGGCCUGUGCUUGACGCUGAGGCGCGAAAGCUAGGGGAGCAAACGGG